UACAGAGGUCCCAAGCGUUGUUCGGAUUCACUGGGCGUAAAGGGUGCGUAGGUGGUGAGGUAAGUCGGAUGUGAAAUCUCCGAGCUCAACUCGGAAAUGGCAUUGGAAACUACCUUGCUAGAGGGUUGGGAGGGGGACUGAAUACUUGGUGUAGCAGUGAAAUGCGUAGAUAUCAAGUGGAACACCAGUGGCGAAGGCGAGUCCCUGGACAACUCCUGACACUGAGGCACGAAAGCUAGGGGAGCAAACAGG
rnacentral:rRNA from 1 species